rnacentral:rRNA from 1 species
CCGNAGUUCUAUGGUCUGGGGGACCCUGUCUUCCUGNCGUGGUUCUACGUCUUUACACACACUCUGUAAUAAAGUCUUAUGGAAUGUAUGCCGCGUCUAACGCAAUACAAUACAACUUUCAGCAACGGAUCUCUUGGCUCUCGCAUCGAUGAAGAACGCAGCGAAAUGCGAUAAGUAAUGUGAAUUGCAGAAUUCAGUGAAUCAUCGAAUCUUUGAACGCACCUUGCGCCCCUUGGCUAUUCCGAGGGGCAUGCCUGUUUGAGUAUCAUGAACACCUCAACUCUCAUGGUUCGCCAUGAUGAGCUUGGACUCUGGGGGUUUUGCUGGCCUGYGGUCGGCUCCCCUCAAAUGAAUCAGCCUCCCAGUGUUUGGUGGCAUCACGGGUGUGAUAAAUAUCUACGCUCGCGGUUGUCUGCCAGGUAACCUUUGGUGACAAAGGUUYGCUGGAGCUCACAGAUGUCUCUCCUCGGCGAGGACAGCUUUUUUGAACGUUCGAUCUCAAAUCAGGUAGGACUACCCGCUGAACUUAAGCAUAUCAAUAAGCGGAGGAA